AUUGAACGCUGGCGGCAGGCCUAACACAUGCAAGUCGAGCGAGCGGCGGACGGGUGAGUAAUGUCUGGGAAACUGCCUGAUGGAGGGGGAUAACUACUGGAAACGGUAGCUAAUACCGCAUACCAUCAGAUGUGCCCAGAUGGGAUUAGCUAGUAGGUGGGGGAACGGCUCACCUAGGCGACGAUCCCUAGCUGGUCUGAGAGGAUGAUCGGCCACACGGGGACUGAGACACGGUCCAGACUCCUACGGGAGGCAGCAGUGGGGAAUCGUGCACAAUGGGCGAAAGCCUGAUGGAGCCAUGCCGCGUGAGUGAAGAAGGCCUUCGGGUUGUAAAACUCUGUUAGCAGGGAAGCGGUACCCAAAGAAAAAGCAACGGCUAACUACGUGCCAGCAGCCGCGGUAAUAC
rnacentral:rRNA from 1 species